rnacentral:rRNA from 1 species
UAAUACGUAGGAUGCAAGCGUUGCUCGGAAUCACUGGGCGUAAAGAGCGCGUAGGUGGUUUGGUAAGUCAGAAGUGAAAGCCCUCGGCUUAACCGGGGAACUGCUUUUGAAACUGCCAUUCUAGAGUACGGGAGAGGGAGGUAGAAUUCCUGGUGUAGCGGUGAAAUGCGUAGAUAUCAGGAAGAAUACCGGCGGCGAAGGCGGCCUCCUUGCCCGAUACUGACACUGAGGCGCGAAAGCGUGGGGAGCAAACAGGAUUAGAUACCCUGGUAGUCCACGCCCUAAACGAUGAGUACUAGGUGUGGGGGAUGUGAUGUCCUCCGUGCCGAAGCUAACGCAUUAAGUACUCCGCCUGGGAAGUACGGCCGCAAGGUUG